rnacentral:lncRNA from 1 species
AAGAGUAGCAUGAGCACACCACAGCGGUGCCCAGUAAGUAGCAGGACUAACCUCGAUGGAGUAGUGACGAGGGACAGUCAAGACACCUACCAGUCAAUAAUCAGUAUAAUCAUAUGGAUAAUAUAAACGAUAUAUAUACUAUGUAAAGACAGCAUGAAUGACUAAAAGGGCUACAAUCAGAAUAAAACUAAUGGAUAACAAGUAAAAACGAUAGAUACACAACGAUGAUAAUAAAAGGAUGAUAGACAUUCCAAUCCAAAUCCUGAAGUUGCAACACAACAAGGAUAGACAAGUCACAAACUCAUUAUUUUGCAAUGAUCUUGCAUAAGUUCUUCCCAACUCUAUCCAUAGUUCUACCACAAACUCUCAGACCAGCCACGACUCAUGAAAACCCAGCAUCUUGUGCCCCGCCAAUAACACUGUCAUGCUGACAACUGACUAGUCAACUAGGGUCACUCUCACAUAUAUAAUGGGUGAACGAGGGUAUAUCCUCACCCCUAGCCAAAACAGGAGGGAUUCAUCUCUAAUAGGAGGGUCCAACUACGUGUGUUCUUGUACAAGUGUAUCUAACAGGAAUCCUACCAUCUGGUAUGUAUAAGAAAAAAAGGAUCGACUAGCACCCGACUUAUUCACACCCGGAUAGAAUCAAUGAAAAUACCAGUUCAGAACACAAUGAGAUUAAUGGGGAUCUCCCGGGAAUCGAACCCAUAGUCCAUCAUACCAAUACAGCACCCGACUUAUUCACACCCGGAUAGAAUCAAUGAAAAUACCAGUUCAGAACACAAUGAGUUUAAUGGGGGUCUCCCGGAAAUCGAACCUGUAGUCCAUCAUACCAAUACAGAGGAUCUCCCGGGAAUUGAACCUGUAGUCCAUCAUAUCAAUAAUAGAGGAUCUCCCGGGAAUUGAACCCUUAGUCCAUUAUACCAAUAACAGAUGAUCUCUCAGUAAUUGAACCCGUAGUCCAUCAUACCAAUAAUAAACAAAAAUAGGAAAAAAUGCCACCACGGGCCUUCACAAUUCAUCACAAUCAGCCCCUGACAUAGCCACCUUAUUUCGCCACGUGUGCUACAUAUAACAAUGUAGCAAGCACCGCCUUAUUUCGCCACACGUGCAUCACAAUAUUCCCACCUUAUUCUGCCACAUGCGCAAUCCACAUAUAUGCAGAUAACAUAUCCCGCCUUUUUACGCUGCAUGUGCAAAAGCAUCAAUAGUCACAAUAACAUGGCAAAGACCUUGUGCAACUCUCCAACAACAACCGCACGACAGAGACCUCGUGCAUCAAAGUACCAACAGUCGCACAAUAAAUGACAGUAUAUAUAUACAGGAGCAAAGCCAGGGAAUAAACAAUGGAGACGAUAAUGUCCCGGCAAGGGAAUCAACAACAGAACCAAUAACGUCCCGGCAAGGGAAUCAAUAAUAGAAACAGUAAUGUCCCGGCAAGGUAAUCAACAACGGAAAUAAUAACGUCCAGGCAAGGGAAUCAACAACGGAAAAAAUAAUGACCCGACAAGGGAAAUCAACAUUAUCUACUAAAGCCACGGAACACCAAGAAAAACACAAUAACCUCAACGACAACAAGACAUAAUAAGUGCAUAAUAACUACACUGAUACCACAACAGUUGGACAUGUAACAUAAUUGCACGAAGUUACAAAUGAGCUCACAAUCAAGGAGUAACCAACAGAGAGAAGUCAACAUGAAUCAAAUAAUGACAAUUUAAGGAAAUAACAACUAAUCAUAAGAUAUCUAUCUUCUUUCCAUUUAAGUCCAAUUAAUCACAUGAGAUAUAAUAUUUAUGAUUUCCACUUAAAUGCGAGUAGUUAGGGCGGGUAAUAUAACAAUGGAAGGGUAUCUUUAGUUAAGCACGUAAAGGUCCAUUAAACAGAAAGAAUAAAUCAAGAAGGGCAGACAAAUACCAAGUAACACAUGUAGUUGUGAAACUAAUAACAGGAAACUCAAUCGUAUCCAUAUCAUCUUCAUGCUUGGUGAUUUCAAGAGUCUAGUAGCCUAAAAGGGAUAAUUUACUGCAAAUAAAUCCGAGCACACACUCGUCAC